rnacentral:rRNA from 1 species
AUGGAGUUGGCAAAUACACUGCGAAAGCGGUCAUUGUCGGUUCGCACGAGGAAUGGAGCCGUGGAAGAGCGGACGGCGGACGACGGUGAGUUGGUCGGAGAGCCGGUGAGCCCCUCCGCUAGGCUCGUUGAGGGUUGUUUUAUUGUUGUACACUUGGGUCUCGCGGCGCCCGUGAACCCAUCCGCCUGGCGCACGGGCAUCAACGCAAAGAUAGCGUCCCACCCACGGUUCAACAGAAUCCAGACGAGAGACGAGGAUGGCGUCCUACGCUGGGUGAGGACAACUGUGGACCUGGACCACCACAUCAUCUACCCAAGGCUGGAGCUGGACACGGCGGCCAACCCUGACCAGGCUGUGGAAGACUACGUGGCGUCCCUGCCCAACAAACCCAUGGACCAUUCUCGACCUCUGUGGGAGUUCCACGUCCUCGACUUCCCGACCUCCGAGGCCACUGCAACUGUGGUGAUGCGGGUGCACCACUCCCUCAGUGAUGGCACGUCUCUGCUCAUGCUCCUACUGUCCAGCACGCGCAGCGCCGCCGACCCGACCAAGCCACCAGCCAUGCCGCCAUUGCCGGCACGCUCCGGUCCUAUAUACUCUCGUCCACGACCACCACUGUCUGCGGGCGCGCUCGCGUUCGGCAUGUGGGUUUGCUCGUUCGUCCUGCUCGCUUGGCACACCGUGUGGGACGUUGCAAGCUUCUCGGCGAUCAUACUAUUCCGGAAAGAUACGCAUACGCUCUUUACCAGGAUGAACCACGACGACUGUCAGCGGAAGCGCAUUGUGCACACGAGUCUUAGCCUUGACGACGUCAAGUUCGUCAAGGAUGCCAUCAACUGCACAGUUAAUGAUGUGUUGGUUGGAGUCACUGACGCCGCCCUAUCACGAUACUACUAUCGAAAGUCAGCUGAUACAGAAAUUUGCAAGGAUAUCCGUUUGCGAUCAAUCCUUCUCGUGAAUUUGAGGGCACCUACAGCAUUGCACGCAUGUGUCAAUAUGAUAGAGUCUGGAAAGGGAAGUGUUGUAAAAUGGGGAAAUCAAAUUGGCUUCAUCAUCCUUCCAGUACAUAUAGCCAUGCACAGUGAUCCACUAGAUUACAUUCGCAAGGCCAAGAAUAUCGUGGAUAUGAAGAAGAACUCAUUAGAAGCGGUAUCCACGUAUAUGGUUGCAGAAGUGUUCCACAAAAUAUUUGGAUGGAAGGCUGGCGCAGCUAUCAUCCACCGUAUGGUCUCCCAUACAACCAUGUGUUUGUCGAAUAUGAUUGGCCCAGUUGAACAGGUGGAGUUCUUUGGCCAUCCAGUUGCCUUCAUUGCCCCUAGCCAACAUGGGAUAGCACAAGCCAUAAAUGUGAACUAUCAAAGUUACGUCAAUACAGUCAGGGUAGUUCUAGCAGUUGACGAGGCACAGUUUCCAGAUUGUUAUGAUCUUCUGGAGGACUUUUCUGAAUCCCUCAAACGAAUUAAAGGUGCAGCUAUGAGCGUUGGACAACAUAACUAG